rnacentral:rRNA from 1 species
GCCAACGGUCAUACCAUACUGAAAAUACAGUUCCCGUCCAAUCACCGAAGUCAAACAGUUUUUAGCGCGGUGAGUACUUAAAAAGAGUGACCAACGGGCACAUCGCGUGCUGUCGCUU